rnacentral:rRNA from 1 species
CCUACGGGAGGCAGCAGUGGGGAAUAUUGGGCAAUGGGCGCAAGCCUGACCCAGCAACGCCGCGUGAAGGAAGAAGGCUUUCGGGUUGUAAACUUCUUUUAAGAGGGAAGAGCAGAAGACGGUACCUCUUGAAUAAGCCACGCCUAACUACGUGCCAGCAGCCGCGGUAAUACGUAGGUGGCAAGCGUUGUCCGGAUUUACUGGGUGUAAAGGGCGUGCAGCCGGGAAGACAAGUCAGAUGUGAAAGCCCGCGGCUUAACCGCGGAACUGCAUUUGAAACUGUUUUUCUUGAGUACCGGAGAGGUCAUCGGAAUUCCAUGUGUAGCGGUGAAAUGCGUAGAUAUAAGGAAGAACACCAGUGGCGAAGGCGGAUGACUGGACGGCAACUGACGGUGAGGCGCGAAAGCGUGGGGAGCAAACAGGAUUAGAUACCCCUGUAGUC